rnacentral:rRNA from 1 species
AUCCACAGCGAUAUGGCCAUGUUCACACCCAGUCCCACCUGAUCUCAGAUGUUAAGCAGGGCUGGGCCUGGUUAGUAUUUAGAUUUGAGAAUGUAGUUCUUUUAUGUUGUGGCCA